GAUGAACGCUAGCGGCAGGCCUAACACAUGCAAGUCGAGGGGCAGCAUAAAAUAAACUUGUUUAUUUGGUGGCGACCGGCGCACGGGUGCGUAACGCGUAUGCAACCUACCUUACACAGGGGGAUAGCCCGGAGAAAUUCGGAUUAAUACCCCAUAGCACUGUUGAUUGGCAUCAAUUGAUAGUUAAAGCUUUGGCGAUGUAAGAUGGGCAUGCGUCCUAUUAGCUAGUUGGUGAGGUAACGGCUCACCAAGGCUACGAUAGGUAGGGGGCCUGAGAGGGUGGUCCCCCACACUGGUACUGAGACACGGACCAGACUCCUACGGGAGGCAGCAGUGAGGAAUAUUGGUCAAUGGGCGCAAGCCUGAACCAGCCAUGCCGCGUGAAGGAUGAAGGUUCUAUGGAUUGUAAACUUCUUUUAUUUGGGAAUAAACCUCUUUACGUGUAGAGAGCUGAAGGUACCAAAUGAAUAAGCACCGGCUAACUCCGUGCCAGCCGCCGCCGUAAGAC
rnacentral:rRNA from 1 species